rnacentral:rRNA from 1 species
UGGGGAAUCUUGGACAAUGGGGGCAACCCUGAUCCAGCCAUGCCGCGUGAGUGAUGAAGGCCUUAGGGUCGUAAAGCUCUUUCGCCUGUGAAGAUAAUGACGGUAGCAGGUAAAGAAACCCCGGCUAACUCCGUGCCAGCAGCCGCGGUAAUACGGAGGGGGUUAGCGUUGUUCGGAAUUACUGGGCGUAAAGCGCACGUAGGCGGAUCGGAAAGUUGGGGGUGAAAUCCCGGGGGCUCAACCCCGGAACUGCCUCCAAAACUAUUGGUCUAGAGUUCGAGAGAGGUGAGUGGAAUUCCAAGUGUAGAGGUGAAAUUCGUAGAUAUUUGGAGGAACACCAGUGGCGAAGGCGGCUCACUGGCUCGAUACUGACCUGAGGUGCGAAAGUGUGGGGAGCAAACAGGAUUAGAUACCCUGGUAGUCCACACCGUAAAACGAUGAAUGCCAGUCGUCGGGUAGCAUGCUAUUCGGUGACACACCUAACGGAUUAAGCAUUCCGCCUGGGGAGUACGGUCG